rnacentral:rRNA from 1 species
UACGAAGGGGGGCUAGCGUUGCUCGGAAUCACUGGGCGUAAAGCGCACGUAGGCGGCUUUCUAAGUCAGGGGUGAAAUCCUGGAGCUCAACUCCAGAACUGCCUUUGAUACUGGGAGCUCGAGUCCGGAAGAGGUGAGUGGAACUCCGAGUGUAGAGGUGAAAUUCGUAGAUAUUCGGAAGAACACCAGUGGCGAAGGCGGCUCACUGGUCCGGUACUGACGCUGAGGUGCGAAAAGCGUGGGGGAGCAAACAGG